rnacentral:rRNA from 1 species
CCUACGGGAGGCUGCAGUGAGGAAUAUUGGUCAAUGGGCGAGAGCCUGAACCAGCCAAGCCGCGUGAAGGAUGACGGCCCUCCGGGUUGUAAACUUCUUUUGUCAGGGAGCAAUUGGGUGCACGUGUCGGCUUAGCGAGAGUCCCUGACGAACAAGCAUCGGCUAACUCGGUGCCAGCAGCCGCGGUAAUAGGGGGGAUGCAGGCGUAUUCGGGAUUUAUGGGGUUUAAAGGGUGGGAGGGCGGAAUAUCAGGUCAGCGGUAAAGCUUAGGGGCUAAACCCCGUCGUGCCGUUGAAACUGGUGGUCUUGAGUGGGCGAGAGGUAUGCGGAAUGCGUGGUGUAGCGGUGAAAUGCAUAGAUA